UAUAACAAAAUUUUAGUUGUUUAAACAGAGAAAUAUUAUAAAAUUGUAUUGUCAGUAUCAUAAAAUGAUUUACAAAAUCACGGCAUUUACAUGGAUAACAUUUAACAAAUCGUAGAUCGGUAAAUGUUUUUCGGUUUAUUACUUCCAGCCCUCAAUAUAUCUUUAAAAUACUGACAAUUGNNNNNNNNNNNNNNNNNNNNGUCAGGGCCGUAGCGAAGGGGGGUAUUGGGGGUAACCCCCCCCCCCCCAACUUUUUUAGAAUUAACAUAUUCGGAAAAUCAGGUUGGUCAUUCGGAAAAUUACGGCAGUAAUAGUAUAACAAAAUUUUAGUUGUUUAAACAGAGAAAAUAUUAUAAAAUUGCAUGUAUUGUCAGCAUCAUAAACUGAUUUACAAAAUCACGGCAUUUACAUGGAUAACAUUUAACAAAUCGUAGAUCGGUAAAUGUUUUUCGGUUUAUUACUUCCAGCCCUCAAUAUAUCUUUAAAAUACUGACAAUUGAUUAAUUUUAAGCGGCUACAUUACCCAUGACAAACCGCAAAGAAUCAUACUACCCAUAUACGCCUUCGCCCAUUUAGUUCUUCUAAAUUGUAAGGCAAAUUAAUUGUAAAUUUCGACGUGCUAAAACUCUGUUUUCUGACCAUCAGAAUUCUGUCAAAACUUCCCCCAAAGUCCACGAAAUGGCAUUUCAGAG
rnacentral:lncRNA from 1 species